rnacentral:tRNA from 1 species
AGUCCUGAGGUGUUUUUACAUAUCAGAUUGCAAAUCUGAAGAAGCAGAAUAAUAUCUGCCGGGGCUU